rnacentral:miRNA from 1 species
UAAUAAAAUCGUGACAUGUAAC